rnacentral:misc_RNA from 1 species
AAAUAUACUGAAAGCACUUGUAGGCCGUAGAGACUAUUCUGAAGUAAAUUCACCAAGUACAGAAAAUAUAGACAUAAUUAAAAGAGUACAAAUUGCACUCAAGUUCACAAGCAGGCAAAAGUGCCAAUGGAGCUUUUUGUACAUAAUAAAAGAGAAACCACCUGUAAAAACUAAAGAGGUGCUUGCCUACAGAGAAAAACUACGCCCUAUGUUUGCACUAGCAGUCCAAUUUUUGCUCUGUUUCCGGGUCUUGCUGUUUGGGCGGAACUGUACCAACUCCAUUCAUCCUCGCACGUGCUUCAGCAAACAUCCUUUGUUGUGCAGCUAAUGCUUCUUCUUCAGUCA